rnacentral:rRNA from 1 species
CCUACGGGGGACAGCAGUGGGGAAUAUUGCACAAUGGGGGAAACCCUGAUGCAGCGACGCCGCGUGAGUGAAGAAGUAAUUCGUUAUGUAAAGCUCUAUCAGCAGGGAAGAAAAUGACGGUACCUGAGUAAGAAGCCCCGGCUAACUACGUGCCAGCAGCCGCGGUAAUACGUAGGGGGCAAGCGUUAUCCGGAUUUACUGGGUGUAAAGGGAGCGUAGACGGCAGUGCAAGUCUGGAGGGAAAGGGGGGGGCUCAACCCCCGGACUGCCCUGGAAACUGUACGGCUGGAGUGCAGGAGAGGUAAGUGGAAUUCGUAGUGUAGCGGUGAAAUGCGUAGAUAUUAGGAGGAACACCAGUGGCGAAGGCGGCUUACUGGACUGUAACUGACGUUGAGGCUCGAAAGCGUGGGGAGCAAACAGGAUUAGAUACCCGAGUAGUC